UCUCAUUUAAAUAAAUGCAGGCGAGAAAUGAGGCUUUGAUUUUUCCAGUUUACAAGGAAACCAAAGAAGCCAUAGAAAUGAUAUUUAAGGACUUUGGACUUGGCUUCUAUAAUAGGAUGUCAGAGGAGAAUGGAAUCAUUAGAGGAGACACAGAGUAGAUGAAAUAAUUAUGAGAAAAGUGAAUGAAAUAACAUUAGAGCAACAUUAUAACAAUUAGCUAAAGCAUCCCUGCACAACUGGAGAAAACUG